rnacentral:rRNA from 1 species
UCUUGCCCGGGGCGCGCCCCGGGCGGGGCGGGGGCACGGGGGGAACGCGAAGAACCUUACCUACUCUUGACAUCCAGAGAAUUUGCUAGAGAUAGCUUAGUGCCUUCGGGAACUCUGAGACAGGUGCUGCAUGGCUGUCGUCAGCUCGUGUUGUGAAAUGUUGGGUUAAGUCCCGCAACGAGCGCAACCCUUAUCCUUUGUUGCCAGCGAGUAAUGUCGGGAACUCAAAGGAGACUGCCGGUGAUAAACCGGAGGAAGGUGGGGAUGACGUCAAGUCAUCAUGGCCCUUACGAGUAGGGCUACACACGUGCUACAAUGGCAUAUACAAAGAGAAGCGAACUCGCGAGAGCAAGCGGACCUCAUAAAGUAUGUCGUAGUCCGGAUUGGAGUCUGCAACUCGACUCCAUGAAGUCGGAAUCGCUAGUAAUCGUAGAUCAGAA